rnacentral:rRNA from 1 species
GACGAACGCUGGCGGCGUGCUUAACACAUGCAAGUCGAACGGAAAGGCCCUGCUUUUGUGGGUUGCUCGAGUUGCGAACGGGUGAGUAACACGUGAGUAACCUGCCCUGGACUUUGGUAUAACUUCAGGAAACUGGGGCUAAUACCGGAUAGGAGCUCCUGCUGCAUGGUGGGGGUUGGAAUGUUUCGGCGGUUGGGGAUGGACUCGCGGCUUAUCAGCUUGUUGGUGGGGUAGUGGCUUACCAAGGCUUUGACGGGUAGCCGGCCUGAGAGGGUGACCGGCCACAUUGGGAAUGAGAGACGGCCCAGACUCCUACGGGAGGCAGCAGUGGGGAAUAUUGCACAAUGGGCGGAAGCCUGAUGCAGCAACGCCGCGUGCGGGAUGACGGCCUUCGGGUUGUAAACCGCUUUCGCCUGUGACGAAGCGUGAGUGACGGUAAUGGGUAAAGAAGCACCGGCUAACUACGUG